rnacentral:misc_RNA from 1 species
ACCAAAGGCAGAUCGUUGAGGAAAGUCUGGGUAUCGGUUAUGCGAAGUUCAACGCACCAAGCGGGAGUGGUGGUAGUUGGGUGAUGUUUUCCAGAUAUUUUGCCUAUAAAUGCUUGACUAUGACGAAUGUACAUAGAAUUUAAAUCGAAAAUUAGGUGGUUUGGAGAACGUAAUCCCCUCUUUCCCCUUUAUUCUUCUUUUUUUUUUUUUUAACUUCUUUUUAUUUUUUCCUUUUCAUUUUGCAUACUAUUUGGGAAAGCCCUAGCCCUCAUGCGCCUCUAGAUCCGCCCCUAUUUACUCUCCCUGGCCAUAAUGGACGUAGUUUUGUUUUUGUUUUUCUGGGGUUUUUUUUUCCCUUUCAUUAUCAGCUUGAAGUUUAAUUACAGGUUUUGGUUCGUACGGCAAUUUCUGGAUUUUGCAGAGUACAUUUGAAAAGCAUUUUUUCUAAGAAAAAAUUUUAAGCAGUUUACAAAGAUAGAAUCCCAACGUAGUCGGUCAGGCCUUCUAUUUCUAUCUCUUUCUUUUCAACUGACGGCAUAUCUAUUUCCUUAUAGUGGAGCAUAUGAUGUCAAUGAUAUUGAGAAGCUUGGAUCGGAUCCUAAAAGUGUUGAACUAUUCAAGAUCAAAAAGGACGAAGUUCUUUUUGAUGAUGACAGCGACAUUUUCAUUACUUCAGGAUCUACUGGUAAGCCAAAGUACGUGGUUCACACACAUUUCAGUGUGAUUAAUGGAGUAAAGGGUAUGUUGUACUACCUUGAAGGAAUGCCAAAUAAAGAGAAUCGAAGAAUUCUUGGGCUUAAUACACUAGCUCAUGUUAGUGGAGAAGGAAGUGGGGUGAUGCCCCCAUUGGUGGCUUCUAUGACGUCAGUGUUUGCGCCAUCUGUGUACAACAUAAAACAGAUUGUGCAGACAAUUCAAAAUGAAAGGUGUACUGAUGUGCUCUUCUUAAUUACUUAUCUAUACGACAUGUUGAACUUCAAGGACAUCGGAGAAUAUGAUGUAACCUCUCUCGAUAUUUGUUUAACUGGAGGAUCAAACAUCCCUCCAAAAAUGGCGAAUGACUUUGAAGAAAAAUGUGCUUGCAAAAUUCUGAUAGCGUAUGGUUCAACUGAAAUGAUGGUACCUAUUAUAAGCUCUCCGUUGGACCCAUUCGCUACGCGGAGUACUGGAGUUCGAAUAUGGCCAAAUGCAGAGAUACAAUUGGUUGAUGAUGACGGAAAGUGUGUACCUGUUGGCAGUAAUGGUGAAAUUUGGUGCCGCUGUUGUAGUAACUUUCAGAGAUACAUGGGGAAUGAUGAACAGACGAAAGCAGCUAAAUCGCCCCACGGGUGGUUUAAAACUGGUGACAUUGGUGUUUUUAACGCUGCUGGUGUCCUGUCAGUAGUCGGGAGAAAAAAGGAUAUCAUAUCCAAGGGUGCUAUAAAGAUUUUUCCCGCCGACAUCGAGAACGUUCUCUCACGUCAUCCAUCUAUUGACCAGGUUCAGGUAAUUGGGGUACCGGAUGAUCGCCUAUCUGAAGAAAUCUGUGUUUGCUUAAGGUGAGACUCGAAGAAAGUGUUCCUGGCUAUGUGUUGAUUUUUGACAGUUUUCCAAAAACGAUUACUGGAAAGAUUGACCGUAUGGUUCUCACAAAACAGGCCAUAGACCGAAUUCAGAGUAAGGUACAAUUAACGGAG